UACGUAGGGGGCAAGCGUUGUCCGGAAUUAUUGGGCGUAAAGGGCGCGUAGGCGGAUAGUUAAGUCCGGUGUGAAAGAUCAGGGCUCGACCCUGAGAGUGCAUCGGAAACUGGUUAUCUUGAGGACAGGAGAGGAAAGUGGAAUUCCACGUGUAGCGGUGAAAUGCGUAGAUAUGUGGAGGAACACCAGUGGCGAAGGCGACUUUCUGGACUGUAACUGACGCUGAGGCGCGAAAGCGUGGGGAGCAAACAGG
rnacentral:rRNA from 1 species